rnacentral:rRNA from 1 species
GAGUAAGACCCCUGGAGGACUACCAGGUGAUAGGUCAACGCUGGAAGUGUGGUAACACAUGCAGGUUGUUGAUACUAAUCGGUCGAGGGCUUGAUUCA